rnacentral:lncRNA from 1 species
CAUAACUGCCAUCCGGUACAUGUGAUCUGAAACGCUCUCCGGCCUCUGGACAUUUCUGUAUACCCAGCCAGUUCGUGGGACUCUCUGAUAAAUAUGAAGAAGAAAAAGAAGUUUUAAAGAACAAAUAUUAACUAUCUGCUAUGCUCUUCAAGAGAUGUCCAGGAUAUAACACACAGAAGCCGGGUCAUAAUUUCAGAACCUAUUACAAAAUGUUUUGCUAAACUAGCUAAAAUGAUAGACAUCUGGAAUCAAAUGAACUAGAGAGCUCAGAGAAUGAAAGGGGUAGAAGACAGAGAGAGAUAAGUCACAAAGUCCAUUCGUCAAAUUAUUCUGUUACUGAUGUAUAAUUAUGGAACAUAUGCAAGUCCUUUAAACAAAAACAAAACUGCAUUUUUCCGAACAAGAGUUGCGGCUUUU